rnacentral:lncRNA from 1 species
UGGAUUUACAACAGAAAGGCGUAAAAUUCAUUAUAAAUUUGAUGCGACAGUUCAAAGUUUUGUACUUUCCAGACCUGCACAACGAAUUACCUAUUUGAAAAAUAGAAUAUGGUUAAAAAUUGCUGAUAUGAUAGAGGAUUCAAGUACUAUUUACAAACAAAAUAUUGAAGAGAAUGUGCUCAAAAGGAAAUGCAUAUGAAUUCUUUUUUGUUGACCAGGAUGGAAAAAUUCUUUGGAACCCAUGGUUAGAAUAAGUUAGUUAGGCCUAGAGGUGUACCAGCCAGAAGUAGAGGAUGACAAAGAAAAUCAACUAUGAAUAAUAU